GGAGAGAUGGCCGAGUGGUUUAAGGCGCAGUCCUGGAAAGACUGUUUACUUAUAUAAUAAGGUAACUAGGGUUCAAAUCCCUAUCUCUCCG
rnacentral:tRNA from 1 species